AUUGAACGCUGGCGGCGCGCUUAACACAUGCAAGUCGAGCGAAGCGGCGGACGGGUGAGUAACACGUGAGUAACCUGCCUUAGACAUUGGGAUAGCCUCGGGAACCCGGUAUUAAUACCAAAUGGUCUAAGAGGGACUCGCGUCACAUUAGCUAGUUGGUGAGGUAACGGCCCACCAAGGCGACGCUGGGUAGCCGGCCUGAGAGGGUGAACGGCCACAUUGGAACUGAGAAACGGUCCAAACUCUACGGGAGGCAGCAGUGGGGAAUAUUGCACAAUGGAGGAAACCCUGAUGCAGCGACGCCGCGUGAACGAAGAAGGCUUUCGAGUCGUAAAGUUCUUUUAUAUGGGAAGCGGUACCAUAAGAAAAAGCCCCGGCUAACUACGUGCCAGCAGCCGCGGUAAUUC
rnacentral:rRNA from 1 species